GACGAACGCUGGCGGCGUGCUUAACACAUGCAAGUCGAACGGAAAGGCCCUGCUUUUGUGGGGUGCUCGAGUGGCGAACGGGUGAGUAACACGUGAGUAGCCUGCCCUUGACUUUGGGAUAACUUCAGGAAACUGGGGCUAAUACCGGAUAGGAGCUCCUGCUGCAUGGUGGGGGUUGGAAAGUUUCGGCGGUUGGGGAUGGACUCGCGGCUUAUCAGCUUGUUGGUGGGGUAGUGGCUUACCAAGGCUUUGACGGGUAGCCGGCCUGAGAGGGUGACCGGCCACAUUGGGACUGAGAUACGGCCCAGACUCCUACGGGAGGCAGCGGUGGGGAAUAUUGCACAAUGGGCGGAAGCCUGAUGCAGCAACGCCGCGUGCGGGAUGACGGCCUUCGGGUUGUAAACCGCUUUCGCCUGUGACGAAGCGUGAGUGACGGUAAUGGGUAAAGAAGCACCGGCUAACUACGUG
rnacentral:rRNA from 1 species